rnacentral:lncRNA from 1 species
AUGGUUUCUAGUGGUGAACCCGGCUGCGCACGGCAGCCCUCUCACUUCCGACGCAUAAACGACCGCCAUGGCGGCGGUGAGUUGUAGAGUUGUACUUCAGGUGAAGUCCGGCCAGUCUCCGGCGAAGAUCCGAUCGGGUAUGGAGCUCAUGGCUUGUAUUGGCGGCUAGCGUUCCAGUUUAGGGGUUUUGAAACCAGAUCGUGUUUGGAGACAACCUUCACGAUGUGUUAGUGUUUUGUGCAUAGGGACUUCCAGUUUCACAACCCAAAAUAACCCUAAACGUCGUGAGCGAACCGACCACCAUCGUCCUCCUCUUACGGUUCAUCUUCUUCGUCUUUCCACGACUAUGAGAUACUAUAGUUGGAGAACUUUCGGCCGACAAAGUCAAAUACAAACUCAAAUACAUCGUCGGAAACGCUAAUGUAGUCUACAGGCUCAAAGUAAUCGCACGUGAUAAUAACAUGCCAACAUCUUAGUUGUAAGUGCUCAACCCUAAUUUUAUGCUCAAAUACAACAAAAUGAUUGAUCCCUUGCAGACAACAAGAGGCGAUGAGCAGUCUUGCAUAUCCCGUGUUUUCUACAACUUUACAAGAAGCAAGAAAAUGGCGAAGGCUCGAUCAAGAGUAAUGGAUAAACGAAAGAAGGGUGCUGCAUGUGAAAGCACAUUUGGCUUUAGAAAGCGCGCCUGAGGCGCGCCAUCAGUUUGAGCUACAUUACAUGAUUUGGUAUUGUGGAAGUCGAGCUUCGCAAAUCAAAGAGAUGUGGGCUAAAGGAUAAAUGUCUUGAUGAUAUACUGUUAUACUUGCACCAAUCUUGAAGGUUGUUUUAAGUUGUGAAUCAUUUAUUAAUGGAUUGUACAAAUGACGAGCAGACAUACUUAUUGUAUUAUAUGCAUGUUUGCGGAGUCUUGACUGCUGCUCCAUUCCAUGCAAGCCCACCACUCUACUCAUGAGAGAUGGGUUCACUUUACUGUCACUGGUGGUUAGCGGGUUGACACAACAAGGAAGCCUUGAUGCUUGGGUAUGGUUAGAUAUUUAGAUUAGAGCAGUUUAUGUAGUGGUAAGUUGGAUUAGAGGAGGCAGUUUUUUUUUGUUUAAAAUAGCAGAGGUUAGAGAGCAAUUUAUUUUAUUUAUUAUGACAGACAUCUGUUAAUUUUGAUUUUUGUUUAUGACUUUGUAUAAUAAACCAAAUCACAAUAGAGUCACUUACGCAUACGCCGAUUUUGAAUUUUGUUAGUCAUUUUAUAACAAAACAAAUUGCAAGCGAGUUACUUAAGUUU